rnacentral:rRNA from 1 species
UGGGGGAUAUUGCACAAUGGGCGAAAGCCUGAUGCAGCGACGCCGCGUGGGGGAUGAAGGCCUUCGGGUUGUAAACUUCUUUUGCUCUGAACAAGGCGCACCAUGGGGUGUGUUGAGUGUAGGGGUUGAUUAGCGCCGGCUAACUACGUGCCAGCAGCCGCGGUAAUACGUAGGGCGCGAGCGUUGUCCGGAAUUAUUGGGCGUAAAGGGCUUGUAGGUGGCUGGUUGCGUCUGUCGUGAAAGCUCAUGGCUUAACUGUGAGUUUGCGGUGGGUACGGGCUGGCUUGAGUGCAGUAGGAGAGGCUGGAAUUCCUGGUGUAGCGGUGGAAUGCGCAGAUAUCAGGAGGAAUACCGGUGGCGAAGGCGGGUCUCUGGGCUGUUACUGACAGUGAGGAGCGAAAGCAUGGGGAGCGAACAGG